rnacentral:rRNA from 1 species
AGAGUUUGAUCCUGGCUCAGGAUAAACGCUGGCGGCGUGCUUCAGGCAUGCAAGUCGAACGGGCGGCAGUCUUCGGAUUGUCGUUAGUGGCGGACGGGUGAGUAACACGUGAGCAACCUGCCCUGUAGUGGGGAAUAACGAGCUGAAAGGUUCGCUAAUACCGCAUGUGAUGGCUCUUCUCUGGAGGGGUCAUGAAAGGCGUAAGUCGCUAUGGGAGGGGCUUGCGGUCGAUUAGCUAGUUGGUGAGGUAACGGCCCACCAAGGCUACGAUCGAUAGCUGGUCUGAGAGGACGGUCAGCCACACGGGGACUGAGAUACGGCCCCGACUCCUACGGGAGGCAGCAGCUAGGAAUCUUGGGAAUGGGCGAAAGCCUGACCCAGCAACGCCGCGUGGGCGAUGAAGGCCUUCGGGUCGUAAAGCCCUUUUGCAGGGGAAGAUAAUGACGGUACCCUGCGAAUAAGCCACGGCUAACUACGUGCCAGCAGCCGCGGUAAUACGUAGGUGGCAAGCGUUGUCCGGAUUUACUGGGCGUAAAGGGCGUGCAGGCGGUUCGUUUAGUGCAGGGUGAAAGCUCCCGGCUCAACUGGGAGAGGUCCCUGUAUACUGGCGGACUCGAGGGGGGUAGCGAAGGCGGCUUUCUGGGCCCUACCUGACGCUGAGACGCGAAAGCGUGGGGAGCGAACCGGAUUAGAUACCCGGGUAGUCCACGCCGUAAACUAUGGACACUAGGUGUGGGGGGUAUCGACCCCCUCCGUGCCGCAGCUAACGCAAUAAGUGUCCCGCCUGGGGAGUACGGCCGCAAGGCUAAAACUCAAAGGAAUUGACGGGGGCCCGCACAAGCAGCGGAGCGUGCGGUUUAAUUCGUCGCAACGCGAAGAACCUUACCAAGGCUUGACAUGCUAGUGGUACCAAAUCGAAAGAUGCGGGGCCCUUCGGGGAGCUAGCACAGGUGCUGCAUGGCUGUCGUCAGCUCGUGCCGUGAGGUGUUGGGUUAAGUCCCGCAACGAGCGCAACCCCUGUUGCCAGUUGUAUUCUCUGGCGAGACUGCCCCGUAAAGCGGGGAGGAAGGCGGGGAUGACGUCAAGUCAGCACGGCCCUUACGUCUUGGGCCACUCGCACGCUACAAUGGUCGGUACAACAGGUUGCGAAGGAGCGAUCCGGAGCUAAUCCCCAAAGCCGGCCUCAGUUCAGAUUGCAGGCUGAAACCCGCCUGCAUGAAGGCGGAGUUGCUAGUAACCGCUGGUCAGCACACAGCGGUGAAUACAUUCCCGGGCCUUGUACACACCGCCCGUCGCGCUAUGGGAGCCGAUAACACCUGAAGUCGCUGAGCUAACCGCAAGGAGGCAGGCGCCGAGGGUGGGAUUGGUAACUGGAGCGAAGUCGUAACAAGGUA